AGAAGCAUAAAAAAAAGUAAAGAUGACAAAGUAGUUUGUUUUUGUCUUUAACGCAGCUGUUUAUCACCUGUGAAUAUGGUAAAUAAGAAAGGUUGAAGAGUACAAUGGUGCCCCAGAGUCUGCAACACCGCCAAGCAAGAGGCACCGCCAAGCAAGAGGCACCGCCAAGCAAGAGGCACCGCCAAGCAAGAGGCACCGCCAAGCAAGAGGCACCGCCAAGCAAGAGGCACCGCCAAGCAAGAGGCACCGCCAAGCAAGCGGCACUAUGAAGACCAAGGAGAUCUCCAAACAGAGACACAGUGCCUGAGUUGUCUGGCCCUCCAUCAUUCAUCACCUUUCCACACCCAUCAAUAAAUCUCUAUGGACACACCCUACUGCAAGUCAACCUGAUUGGUGGACAUACUACCUGUGGUCAUAGUGCACACUCUAGUGGUAGCAGAGAGAGACAUCAAAACCACGGAACCUUCCAGAUGAUAUCACAACUGUCGCAUUAUCAUUGACAGAAGUAAAGUCUGUAAUCCAAGGCAUAUUCUUUUUUAUUUUGCCAAGUGGGACAUGAUCGUUGAUCAUGAUUGUUUUGGUACCUGGAUCAACAAUACAAUACCAACAGGGUAUAAACCAGGUAGUUUGGCUAUUGGAUGCUGAUUGUCUGAAAGCUGUGGUAUAUGAGACAAUAUACUAUGGGUAUGAGGCAAAGCUACUUGUUUGCUGGUCUAAUUGCGUUGGGAACCUGUUUAUAAUAGCAAUAAAUCACCUCAGGAGUUUGUGGCAUACACAGUGGCGACCCGUCAUUCAGAGCCCCACUUGUUUUGAGCCCCACCUGUUUAGCAAAAUAAUAUAUAUAUAUACAUAUACAGUACCAGUCAAGAGUUUGGACACACCUACUCAUUCAAGGGUUUUUCUUUAUUUAGACUAUUUUCUACAUUGUGGAAUAAUAGUGAAGACAUCAAAACUAUGGAAUAACACGUAUGGAAUCAUGUUGUAACCAAAAAAGUGUGCAACAAAUCCAAAUGUAUUUUAUAUUUGAUAUUCUUCAAAGUAGCCACCUUUUGCCUUGAUGACAGCUUUGCACACUCUUGGCAUUCUCUCAAUCAGCUUCAGGAGGUAGUCACCUGGAAUGCAUUUCAAUUAACAGGUGUGCCUUGUUAAAUGUUCAUUUGUGGAAUUUCCUUCCUUCUUAAUGCAUUUGAGCCACUCAGUUGUGUUGUGACAAGGUAGGGUUGGCAUACAGAAGAUAGCCCUAUUUGGUAAAAGACCAAGUCCAUAUUUUGGCAAGAACAGCUCAAAUAAGCAAAGAGAAUUGACAGUCCAUCAUUACUUUAAGACAUAAAAGUCCGUCAAUGCGGAACAUUUCAAGAGCUUUGAAAGUUUCUUCAAGUGCAGUCGCAAAAACCAUCAAGUGCUAUGAUGAAACUGGCUCUCAUGAGG